GGCUGGUGCAGGGGGCUGGAGCAGCAAGAUGUGGGAAGAGAACUUCAACAGUAGUAGCUAACAUGCUGGCCAGCUUCAUGACAAGACACAAGUUUGCAAAAGCAAGGAGCAAAACCAAAAGCUCCUCCUAUCCUUUCAUGUGAUGAAAAGCAACUAAGGAGUCUUCUUCUGUCUCUAUGGUAUUUAAAAUCCAAAGGGACUAAGAGAGCAGGAGGCCUCUCUGCUAUGGAUAUUCCUGACUGCACUUCAGAGCUGGCCAGCAGAACGGAGCUCAGACCCUGUUCACCCGGCCGCUUCUGCCCACCUCGGACGUACUCACACCAGAAGCUUCCCAUUCUCCAUGGACAAGGAGGAUUUCUCUCAGUCUGUCUGACUUUUGUAUGAAACCUGUUCCAGCCUUUGUGGUAUUAGCAUUGCUGAUGAGGAGGACCGAAUCUAUUAAACUGUAACAAACUCCACGGAAACAGGGUGUGAGUCUUGCUUUCAAUAUUUAAUUAUGAAUUUUAAAACCCAUAAUUAACUUUUCCUUAAUUAAAUAUUGUAAAAUUAUAUACAUAGAAUU